rnacentral:misc_RNA from 1 species
CCCGUCGUGCCGCCUCAGAGAGGGUCUUCAUGCGAGAGUAUGGCGCAGCCACAGGAUAGCGCCAGUAUUUCAUCCGAUGAGCUAGUGGUCUGGAGAGCUGCUGAGCGAGUGAGGCAAGGCGCCUCUUUACAGCUCUCACGGGUAGCUCGCUGUAUCGCCUCUGCCACGAAACUGUUGAAGGUGGAAGCAAAAGUCAUGGAGCGAGUUUGCGGGGACACUAUUGUGUUUGGCCCUAUUCGCGGCCACGCCGCUGACUUUGCGAACAUUCUACUAACGAAGGUGCUUCCGAAUCGUUGCGUCAAAAAUAUUGUGUUCUUGGGCAACUACAUCGAUGGUGCACACCAAUCGCUGGGUGUCCUGUUCCUGAUCGCGGCGCUUAUUGUGUGCUCUCGGUUCCACAUUGUACCUCUGAUCGGCAAGCAUGAAAUGAUGUACCCUAUCCAGCCGGAGACCUUUGGUUCUCUUCGGAACGAGAUGCUUCUGUGCUGCACGCGCCGACGCCAGCCGCUGGAGCAGUACGAGAGUAUCAUGAAGGAAUUCUUUUCUGUUCUCCCCAUUGCGUGCGUGGUCGAGAACAGGUUCUUCUGCGUCGCCGGCGGGCCCUCCUCGAAGUUUCGCACACUGGAGGAGAUCGAGCUGAUAACAUUGACGCAGGAUGCGUCGAAAGAAUUUGCCUUGAAUAAGCCUAUGGACGAGGAUGAGGAGCGCAUCGCUGACGGGAGCGCUUUUGUCGCCUCACAGGAGAACGAGCUCGCGUUCCGCUAUACGUUCAAUGCUGCCUGCAACUUCCUGAGCCGCAACAAAUUGGCGAUGCUUAUCGUUGGCAUGGAGUACCAUAUGAGUCUCCCAGACUACGACAGCUUUGCUCGCCCGAAUCAUUACAAGGAAUCAAUCUACUUCCCUGGAUACAUGCUAGGCCGCAUCCACCCCGAGACGCAGUUGCCGGCAGUGCUGUCGAUGUUCUCUGCCCCGUCGUUCUGCGGUGUGAACCGCAACAACGCGUGCAUUGCAGAAAUUGCAGAUAACCGGCUGGUGGUGCAGGAGCUGGGAGUUUAUGCGAAGCGCCCUCUUGUGUCACCCGGCACGCAAGACCAUGCCUUCUCGUGGGCGCAACCGAUGCUGGAGCGUGCAGUCGUGGUCAUCGCCCGAGAUAUUAUUCGGGGGGUCGUCAAGGAGGAUGCAGCAACUGAUGACGAUGCUCACCGUAAGCGGCUGGAGGAGGUUGCCGUGUCGAAAAUGCGGCGCAUGUGUAUGCUACUGCGGGCGCACGACCUCCCUCUCCCUGAUGUGCCCAAGCUGGCGUUCAACUGAUGCCGCUACAGCGCUUUUUCGAGGUGUUUGUGUGCUGUGUGGAAGUCGGUUGCUGCGUGUACAGCCAUUCUUCUAGCGUGGUCGACCACGCUGCCUAACAUACACCCUGAGUGCCGGCGUCUACGCUCAUGCGUGAUGGGAUGUGGCAUUAUGCCACACCUCAUUUUUUUGUCGUAUGUGUCUGUGUCCUGUGGUUUGUGAACGCAAUAGCAUUGUGUUGCGUAGUGCCCUGCUCACGUCUAUUGCCGUCGUGCACAUUUCUGGGUUCGCGUGAAUGCCAAUGAGAGAGCCUUCAUCGUAUGUGCGUGUGUCGGUGUGAGCACGUAUGCUCUCGUUUACUUACUAUGCGUGGCUGCUAGAGAAAAGGCACCGUCUACGGUAGAUGUCUCGCUGAGAGGUUUACGAUUGAGUUUUACAACACGUGGGCUUUGCUUGUGGGGAGUGAACUCCUUGUCUAGGUAGCGGUGCGCCGGCUCUGUGCACAGGGCGGGAGAACCUCGCGCAGGUGCUAUGGUGCCUGCCGUGAAAGAGAAACGGUUGGCGCUCUCUUCUUCUGACGCACGGAGAGUGCCACUCCACCAUUGCUCUCAAUCGACGUAUCCCAAGCUCUCAUCUCUAAGUCCCCAACUCGUUUGUCCGACGUCACUCACUGUCACACGUUAUAUCACAACGAUGCAG